GAUGAACGCUAGCUACAGGCUUAACACAUGCAAGUCGAGGGGAAACGACAUCGAAAGCUUGCUUUUGAUGGGCGUCGACCGGCGCACGGGUGAGUAACGCGUAUUCAACCUGCCCAUCACUUGGGGAUAACCUUGCGAAAGUAAGACUAAUACCCAAUGAUAUCUCUAGAAGACAUCUGAAAGAGAUUAAAGAUUUAUCGGUGAUGGAUGGGGAUGCGUCUGAUUAGCUUGUUGGCGGGGUAACGGCCCACCAAGGCAACGAUCAGUAGGGGUUCUGAGAGGAAGGUCCCCCACAUUGGAACUGAGACACGGUCCAAACUCCUACGGGAGGCAGCAGUGAGGAAUAUUGGUCAAUGGGCGAGAGCCUGAACCAGCCAAGUAGCGUGCAGGAAGACGGCCCUAUGGGUUGUAAACUGCUUUUAUAAGGGAAUAAAGUGAGAGUCGUGACUCUUUUUGUAUGUACCUUAUGAAUAAGGACCGGCUAAUUCCGUG
rnacentral:rRNA from 1 species